GUCUUUGGGGCAGGGCGUAAAUCCCUACCGGCGGUAUAGCCCGCGAGCAUGAUGCAUGAUUUGGUGAAAUUCCAAAGCCGACAGUAUAGUCUGGAUGAGAAAAGAU
rnacentral:ncRNA from 1 species